rnacentral:rRNA from 1 species
UACGUAGGGUGCAAGCGUUGUCCGGAAUUAUUGGGCGUAAAGAGCUCGUAGGCGGUUUGUCGCGUCGGCCGUGAAAUCUCCACGCUUAACGUGGAGCGUGCGGUCGAUACGGGCAGACUUGAGUUCGGUAGGGGAGACUGGAAUUCCUGGUGUAGCGGUGAAAUGCGCAGAUAUCAGGAGGAACACCGGUGGCGAAGGCGGGUCUCUGGGCCGAUACUGACGCUGAGGAGCGAAAGCGUGGGGAGCGAACAGG